AAACUGGGAUCCUUAGUAACGGCGAGUGAAGCGGUAAAAGCUCAAAUUUGAAAUCUGGUACUUUCAGUGCCCGAGUUGUAAUUUGUAGAAUUUGUCUUUGAUUAGGUCCUUGUCUAUGUUCCUUGGAACAGGACGUCAUAGAGGGUGAGAAUCCCGUUUGGCGAGGAUACCUUUUCUCUGUAAGACUUUUUCGAAGAGUCGAGUUGUUUGGGAAUGCAGCUCAAAGUGGGUGGUAAAUUCCAUCUAAAGCUAAAUAUUGGCGAGAGACCGAUAGCGAACAAGUACAGUGAUGGAAAGAUGAAAAGAACUUUGAAAAGAGAGUGAAAAAGUACGUGAAAUUGUUGAAAGGGAAGGGCAUUUGAUCAGACAUGGUGUUUUUUGCAUGCACUCGCCUCUCGUGGGCUUGGGCCUCUCAAAAAUUUCACUGGGCCAACAUCAAUUCUGGCAGCAGGAUAAAUCAUUAAGAAUGUAGCUACUUCGGUAGUGUUAUAGCUUUUUGGAAUACUGUUAGCCGGGAUUGAGGACUGCGCUUCGGCAAGGAUGUUGGCAUAAUGGUUAAAUGCCGCCCGUCUUGAAACACGGGACCA
rnacentral:rRNA from 1 species